rnacentral:rRNA from 1 species
AGUGAACGCUGGUGGUAGGCCUAACACAUGCAAGUCGAACGGCAGCACAGGAGAGCUUGCUCUCUGGGUGGCGAGUGGCGGGCGAGUGAGGCAUACAUCGGAAACUGCCCAGUCGUGGGGGAUAACGUAGGGAAACUUACGCUAAUACCGAAUACGACCUUCGGGUGGAAGAGGGGGAUCGCAAGACCUCUCACGGUUGGAUGAGCCGAUGUCGGAUUAGCUAGUUGGCGGGGUAAUGGCCCACCAAGGCGACGAGCCGUAGCUGGUAUGAGAGGAUGAACAGACACCCUGGAACUGAGACACGGUCCAGACUCCUACGGUGAGCAGCAGUCGGGAAUAUUGGACAAUGGGCGCAAGCCGGAUCCAGCCAUACCGCGUGGGUGAUGAACGCCUUCUGGUGGGAAAGCCCUUUUGUUGGUAAAGAAAUCAUUCAGUCUAAUACCCUGGGAGGAUGACGGUACCCAAAGAAUAAGCACCGGCUAACUUCGUG